rnacentral:rRNA from 1 species
CUGCUGCCUCCCGUAGGUGUCUGGACCGUGUCUCAGUUCCAGUGUGGCCGGACAUCCUCUCAGACCGGCUACCCGUCAUCGCCUUGGUGAGCCGUUACCUCACCAACUAACUAAUAGGCCGCGAGCCCAUCCCCAAGCGCAUUGCUGCUUUAAUCUUUCGAUACUAUGCGGUAUUAAUCCCAGUUUCCCAGGGCUAUCCCGCUCUCGGGGGCAGGUUACUCACGUGUUACUCACCCGUGCGCCACUAGAGAAUUUA